GGCGCGCCCCCACCGCACGGCCGGCCGCGGGACGGCGACGCGCUGCCGCUUGUCCGUCCGAGGAGGCGCCGACGGGCGACGCAGGCCGCGGCAGCGCGGGGCGUGCGCCCGGCACGUUCGGCCCCGCUCCGUGGCGUGUGUUGCUGGUCGGCAACACGGGUGGCUGAGAGGAGCAGUUUUUGCUCCAGGUGCAUAAACUAUCUAAGACAUCUGCAU
rnacentral:lncRNA from 1 species